rnacentral:tRNA from 1 species
GCCGAGGUGGCGGAAUUGGCAGACGCGCCAGAUUCAGGGUCUGGUCCCCAUUUUUGGGGGUGAGGGUUCGAAUCCCUCCCUCGGCA